AAGCGGGUCGAGGAAGCAGUGGUGUGGAAAGGCACUUGUAAUGGCGUUGCGAGGCAUGAAGAGGCCUAGGAAGGGCUGAUGUGAGAGAAGACGACAAAUGAGGUGGAGUGAGCUUGGAGUAGGUCAAGGAGAGGAGACAAGUGGAUAUGACACCAAGGGACGAGGCUACGAUGGUUGUGCAGGCAAAAAGCUAGGUCACAACAAACAAACG
rnacentral:lncRNA from 1 species